UAAGUUGUUGAUACAACAUUAGGAUACAUUCACGAGCAUUCUGUUUUCCAUCCCCACUUUUAGCCCCAUUAACUUCAAACGGCUCAACCGGUUUUUUUAUAUAUUUUUCAUUUAUUUUUAUUAUUAAUUCUUUUAUAGGGCACA